GAUGAACGCUGGCGGCGUGCCUAAUACAUGCAAGUCGAGCGAACAGAUGAGGAUCUUGCUCCUCUGACGUUAGCGGCGCACGGGUGAGUAACACGUGUAUAACCUACCUAUAAGACUGGUAUAACUUCGGGAAACCGGAGCUAAUACCGUAUAAUAUCUUGAACCGCAUGGUUCAAUGGUGAAAGACGGUGUUGCUGUCACUUAUAGCUGGAUCCGCGCCGCAUUAGCUAGUUGGUAAGGUAACGGCUUACUAAGGCAACGAUGCGUAGACGACGUGAGAGAGUGAUAGCCCACCGUGGAACGUAGACACGGACAAGGCGACUACGGGACGCAGCAGUAGCGAACGUUACGCAGUGGGCGAAAGUAUGACGGAGCAGGGCGGAGUGAGUGAUAAAGAUGUCCGGAUCGGAAAGAUCUGUUACUAGGGAAGAACCACUGUGUAAGUAACUGUGCCCGUAUUGACGGUAACGAGUAAGAAAGCACCGGCUAACUACGUG
rnacentral:rRNA from 1 species